CCUACGGGAGGCAGCAGUGAGGAAUAUUGGUCAAUGGCCGGAAGGCUGAACCAGCCAUGCCGCGUGAAGGGCAGGGACCUAUGGGCGUUAAACUUCUUUUGUGCGGGAGCAAUAAUGGUCACGUGUGGCCAGACGAGAGUACCGUACGAAUAAGCAUCGGCUAACUCCGUGCCAGCAGGCGCGGUAAUACGGGGGAUGCAAGCGUUAUCCGGAUUUAUUGGGUUUAAAGGGUGCGUAGGCUGUGAGGUAAGGCAGCGGUGAAAUGCCCCCGCUCAACGGGGUGAAGUGCCAUUGAUACUGCCUUGCUGGAGUGCGGAUGCCGUGGGAGGAAUGUGUGGUGUAGCGGUGAAAUGCAUAGAUAUCACGCAGAACACCGAUUGCGAAGGCAUCUCACGAAUCCGCGAUUGACGCUGAUGCACGAAAGCGUGGGUAUCAAACAGGAUUAGAUACCCCAGUAGUC
rnacentral:rRNA from 1 species